GACGAACGCUGGCGGCGUGCUUAACACAUGCAAGUCGAACGGAAAGGCCCUGCUUUUGUGGGGUGCUCGAGUGGCGAACGGGUGAGUAACACGUGAGUAACCUGCCCUUGACUUUGGGAUAACUUCAGGAAACUGGGGCUAAUACCGGAUAGGAGCUCCUGCUGCAUGGUGGGGGUUGGAAAGUUUCGGCGGUUGGGGAUGGACUCGCGGCUUAUCAGCUUGUUGGUGGGGUAGUGGCUUACCAAGGCUUUGACGGGUAGCCGGCCUGAGAGGGUGACCGGCCACAUUGGGACUGAGAUACGGCCCAGACUCCUACGGGAGGCAUCAGUGGGGAAGAUUGCACAAUGGGCGGAAGCCUGAUGCAGCAACGCCGCGUGCGGGAUGACGGCCUUCGGGUUGUAAACCGCUUUCGCCUGUGACGAAGCGUGAGUGACGGUAAUGGGUAAAGAAGCACCGGCUAACUACGUG
rnacentral:rRNA from 1 species